CGGCGGGCGGGGACGGGGGGUGGGGGCAGGGCACCGAGAGGAUUUGGGGGCGCUGGCAGAGCUGGGGAGGGCUGACAGAACUGGCGUUGCCGAACGACCGGAGGCCCUGGAGGCCCAAUCCCCGUCCCGCCUCGGGGGCCUGGGUCUCCUACCAAGUCCGACGCGGAAACCUCCAGAAUGCUCGCUCCGGCCCUGGGGACGCUGCCAGGGCCUUGAAACGGCCGCCACAGGCCCAGGCUGGGGACCCUGGCCCCAGCCUCUCCAGCCGCCCCGCCCCCCAAGGCUCACCUGACGGCCGCCCCGGUCCGCAGGAAGCGCUGGAUGGCCCUGUCGGCCGCGGUCAUCGCCGCCUGGGCCCGGGAGCUCAGCAUCACGGCCUCGCGGGAGACCUGCCGCCGUCGCCGCCGCCCCCGCCGCUACCACCGCGGUGGACCGAGGGCUCCGAAGGCUUCCGAGGCGGCGGAACCCGCGGCCACAGUCCCAGCUUCUCCGGGGAAGUAGGGCCGCGACCCGCCCCCCGGAGGACCGGAAGCAGCCGCCGCCGGAGAAAAAGAGCCGACGGACUACAUCCUUGUUUUGCCUUUUCCCCCUUAGCAACGCGCGCCGGCGUCGGUUACCAAGGGAGGCCUUGCGGCCCGCUUGGCUUUUCAAGUUUUCCCCGGGCUCCGUUCGUUUUAAAUACAGAUGUGCCACUUCCAGCUCCUGGGGUCAUUUAAAUUUUUUCCUUAUGAAGAGGGCAGACUAGCCCGAAAGCAGGGAUCAGGCCUCGGCCACCUUCAGGCAUUAUUGUCGUCAGAGUGGAAAUAGGUUGCAGCGGAAGGGCCUUCGUAACCCUGUGGCCCGUCUCUGCAUCAGUUGAGAAACCUAGGCCUUUGAUAACAGCCACCAAAAUAUCCUUCACUUGCGUGCAUUGGUAACAAUGCCUGCAGCCUGGCCCCAUGCUCCUGCUCUAAACAGCAUGAGUGUGGCUGUCAUUGACUGAUAGAAGUUCUUAAAAAUAAAGAUAUAUUACUAAUGUAUAAUGACAACGCUGCUGCCAAGAACCAGGCACUGCCUGCUCUAACAUCCAUCAGGGAGAUCAAGGAUUUGCAGCAUCUGGAAGAUCACAAGGUCAUCCGUCAGAGCCUUACGCAUCUCUCAGCUGCUGGGAUUAUUUUGCAGUUUUCAGGGGGUGUACCUCAAAAGUCUCCAGAGAGCAGAGAGGGAAUCUAAAUGUGAAGCUUGCUGUUGGCUGA